rnacentral:lncRNA from 1 species
AAAAAUUGAGAGAAUAUAAAUCUAUGUUUUUACAGGUACAACUAUCUGCAACCUUCAUAUUACCUUAAUGCUUAAGAAUAAUAUGCUAGAAAAAAAUAUAGUAAAUAAACUAUUAAUAAAUAAAUUUACAAAACUAAACUUAAUGCUUAAGAAAAGAAUGAAAAUGCUAGAAAAAUAAAAGAGAAAAAAAAGAAAAAAAUGGGAAUGUUUUUGGCAGAAAAUACAAAGAUCAAAUUAAAUUAACCUAUUCAAAUUAAAAGCUAACUCAUGCUUGAAUUCUCC